rnacentral:rRNA from 1 species
AGGGUUUGAUCCUGGCUCAGGGUUAACGCUGGCGGCGUGCCUAACACAUGCAAGUCGAACGGUUCUAAGCGCGAGCUUAGGAUAGUGGCGAACGGGUGAGUAAAAGGUAGGAAUCUACCCCUUGGACGGAGAUAGCUACUGGAAACGGUAGGUAAACUUCGAUAAGCCCGAGAGGGGAAAGUGGUGAGACAGCCGAGGGAUGAGCCUACUCUCCAUCAGGUAGUUGGUGAGAUAAAAGCUUACCAAGCCGAUGACGGAUAACCGGUGUGAGAGCAUGAACGGUCACAAGGGCACUGAGAGACGGGCCCUACUCCUACGGGAGGCAGCAGUGGGGAAUCUUGGACAAUGGGCGAAAGCCUGAUCCAGCGACGCCGCGUGGAGGAAGAAGUCCUUCGGGAUGUAAACUUCUGAACUAGCCGAAUAAAAGGCCUGUGGACACACAGGAGAAGAAAGUAGGCUAGGAAAAGUCCCGGCUAACUACGUGCCAGCAGCCGCGGUAAGACGUAGGGGGCAAGCGUUACCCGGAAUUACUGGGCGUAAAGGGGGCGUAGGCGGUAAAAGAAGUCAUCUGUGAAAACCUAUUGCUCAACGAUAGGCUAGCGGAUGAAACUGAAUUACUUGAGGGCACCAGAGGUAGACGGAAUUACCCGAGUAGGGGUGAAAUCCGCAGAUACGGGUAGGAACGCCGGUGGAGAAGUCGGUCUACUGGGGUGCACCAGACGCUGAGGCCCGAAAGCUAGGGGAGCAAACCGGAUUAGAUACCCGGGUAGUCCUAGCCGUAAACGAUGCUCACUAGGUGUAGGGAGUGAUAAACUCUCUGUGCUGAAGCGAACGCGCUAAGUGAGCCGCCUGGGGAGUACGUCCGCAAGGAUGAAACUCAAAGGAAUUGACGGGGGUCCGCACAAGCGGUGGAGCAUGUGGUUUAAUUCGAUGGUAACCGAAGAACCUUACCAGGGAUUGACAUGUAACUGAAGGUAGAGAAAUCUACUGGCCUGCUGCAAAGCGGGAGGUUACACAGGUGGUGCACGGCCGUCGUCAGCUCGU